rnacentral:rRNA from 1 species
UACUAACAGGUAAUGCUGAGGACUCUGGCGGAACUGCCGGUGACAAACCGGAGGAAGGUGGGGAUGACGUCAAGUCAUCAUGGCCCUUAUGUCCAGGGCUACACACGUGCUACAAUGGUUGGAACAGAGUGAAGCGAAGCCGAGAGGUGAAGCAAAACGCAGAAAGACAAUCGUAGUUCGGAUUGGAGUCUGAAACCCGACUCCAUGAAGUUGGAAUCGCUAGUAAUCGCACAUCAGCACGGUGCGGUGAAUACGUUCCCGGGCCUUGUACACACCGCCCGUCACACCAUCCGAGUAGAGGGUACCCGAAGCCGGUAGUCUAACCGUAAGGAGGACGCUGUCGAAGGUACGCUUUGUGAGGGGGGUG